GACAAACUGCACUUAAUGGACAAACUAAUAAAUGACACCAAGGGCUCCUGACCAAGAGUCAAGGAUUGAGAAAGUGUAAAAGACGGUCCCCAAUGAGACUGUGAAUUGUGACGCCUGUUUGGUUGCUUUACAUUUAUCAAUAUUUCAUAUUCUGUUUAUCUAUGAAACAUCAAUGUUGAUAACACUAAAACAGCCAUUCUUGCCAUCAGAAAUAGUUAAACUUAAGUAAAAACAUAAGACAUAGAGUGACUCGUCAGGUAGAGAUGCAAUGCAUAAGAGAAUGGCCAGCAUGCUGAUGACUGGUCAUACAGAUGCUAAUCAUACAGAUGACCGGUCAUACAGACCGCAUCGUACAGACAGUGAUCAUAUCCUGAUGUAACCAAUCGCUCUCCAGCUGGAGGAAGUGCUGCUUUAUAAUCACAGAACAUUCACUCACUAUUAAAAUGAUUCUGGCUGCUAGAAGGGAGAACAUAUCCUACAACAUGAAAAAGUCAAGUCAACAGUUCACAUUGUUCACUCUAAACAAGAAUUUCACUUCAUCAGAAAGUUCAGUCCUCAAGAAAAGCUGCAUGCAGAAUCUGGAUUGUUGGGACAGCUACAUUCGACGUGGUGGAAAGCAAGCAAGGGAAACCAUGGGCACCAAUCUCAGUGUGUCCUCCCAGGUCCAGUGUUUGGGGUGACAUCCUUCCUUUCUUCCAACAGUGUCUUAAAGAAAGAACUGAACAAAUGAAGAUUAUGCUUUCUUCAAUCGACCCGAGGCACCACUGGAGGAAAGGUGGACAGAGUCAGGAAGUUUGUGAACAAUGUGAUGGCCAAGUUUGUUCUCUGUGUUAAUGGAGCAUUGUCCAUCAUCCACACAUAGUGUUUGACAAACCUGAGCUAUAUUUAAAUGAUGAGGUUCAUUUAAGCCCUAAUGGAAAUUAUAUAUAUAUAUAUAUAUUUUUACUGAUAUUAUCCAGUGUUUGAGAGACCACAGACCAUAAGCCUGAUGCUGGACUGGUGCAUGUUAUGGGAAAGAAGCUCUCCUGUAUUUUUAAAAAGUACCCAGCAGUGUGUUCAACAAAUGCCUGACUUAAUAAAAGUAUUCCCCUGACUUACUGCUAUGAUCUUAUUUUAUUUAUCUAGCAUUUAAAAAUAAAAUAAUAUACAAUGCCUAAAAUAUAAACAGCUUCUUUGCAAAAAUGUUGAGUUUCAACCUAAAUUUAAUAAUAAUAAAUUAAUAUCUGGUAUAAUUAAAUACUAUUUGUAUCAUUUCAUUUAUAAAAUACACUUAAAUAGACCUGCUUUCUUUUCUGGGCUUUGCUUGUAUGUCCAAAUACCUGCUCGCUGUGAGAGGCCAGGUGAUAAUGUGGAGACAUUAGUGUUAUUAGCAUAUGAAGAGAGGAGACCAUCAGUUUACCAGACACUGCUGGGGGAACUGGGGGUGUGGGGAUUCUUUAAAACAAGUCACUUUGAUUCGGAUUGAUCUGAUUUAAGAUUAUGUAGCUUGAAAAAUAAUCAGAUUUUAUUUUACUUUUUUAUAAUGCACUAGCCAGGAAAGACCAUCAUACACAUUGUAGAUACUGAUAUAU